UGCCAUCAGCCGCGGUAAUAUGGAGGGUGCAAGCGUUAAUCGGAAUUACUGGGCGUAAAGCGUACGCAGGCGGUUUGUUAAGCAAGAUGUGAAAGCCCUGGGCUCAACCUAGGAACCGCAUUUUGAACUGGCAAACUAGAGUCUUGUAGAGGGGGGUAGAAUUUCAGGUGUAGCGGUGAAAUGCGUAGAGAUGUGGAGGAAUACCAGUGGCGAAGGCGGCCCCCUGGAUCGACACUGACACUGAGGCGCGAAAGCGUGGGGAGCAAACAGGAUUAGAUA
rnacentral:rRNA from 1 species